GACGAACGCUGGCGGCGUGCUUAACACAUGCAAGUCGAACGGAAAGGCCCUGCUUUUGUGGGGUGCUCGAGUGGCGAACGGGGGAGUAACACGUGAGUAACCUGCCCUUGACUGUGGGAUAACUUCAGGAAACUGGGGCUAAUACCGGAUAGGAGCUCCUGCUGCAUGGGGGGGGUUGGAAAGUUUCGGCGGUUGGGGAUGGACUCGCGGCUUAUCAGCUUGUUGGUGGGGUAGUGGCUUACCAAGGCUUUGACGGGUAGCCGGCCUGAGAGGGUGACCGGCCACAUUGGGACUGCGAUACGGCCCAGAAUCCUACGGGAGGCAGCAGUGGGGAAUAUUGCACAAUGGGCGGAAGCCUGAUGCAGCAACGCCGCGUGCGGGAUGACGGCCUUCGGGUUGUAAACCGCUUUCGCCUGUGACGAAGCGUGAGUGACGGUAAUGGGUAAAGAAGCACCGGCUAACUACGUG
rnacentral:rRNA from 1 species